rnacentral:rRNA from 1 species
GUGGGGAAUUUUGGACAAUGGGCGCAAGCCUGAUCCAGCAAUGCCGCGUGCAGGAAGAAGGCCUUCGGGUUGUAAACUGCUUUUGUACGGAACGAAACGGUCCUGGCUAAUAUCCGGGGCUAAUGACGGUACCGUAAGAAUAAGCACCGGCUAACUACGUGCCAGCAGCCGCGGUAAUACGUAGGGUGCGAGCGUUAAUCGGAAUUACUGGGCGUAAAGCGUGCGCAGGCGGUGCUGGAAGACAGGCGUGAAAUCCCCGGGCUCGACCUGGGAAUUGCGCUUGUGACUGCAGUGCUGGAGUGCGGCAGAGGGGGAUGGAAUUCCGCGUGUAGCAGUGAAAUGCGUAGAUAUGCGGAGGAACACCGAUGGCGAAGGCAAUCCCCUGGGCCUGCACCGACGCUCAUGCACGAAAGCGUGGGGAGCAAACAGGAUUAGAAACCCCGGUAGUCC